UACGUAGGGUCCGAGCGUUGUCCGGAAUUAUUGGGCGUAAAGGGCUCGUAGGCGGUUUGUCGCGUCGGGAGUGAAAACACCGGGCUUAACUCGGUGCUUGCUUUCGAUACGGGCAGACUAGAGGCAUGCAGGGGAGAAUGGAAUUCCUGGUGUAGCGGUGAAAUGCGCAGAUAUCAGGAGGAACACCGGUGGCGAAGGCGGGUCUCUGGGCCGAUACUGACGCUGAGGCGCGAAAGCGUGGGGAGCAAACAGG
rnacentral:rRNA from 1 species